UGUCACCAAGCUUUAUUUCUAGACUUUUUAAGUUAUGAUUUAUUUAACAUUAUGCCAAGCACUGUUCCAACAUACUUUGAUCCAAUUUAUCCUCCCAAGAAGUCUAUGAGGCAAGUACUUUAAUAAUCUCUUUCAACAGAUGAGCAAACUGAAGCACUCAGGGCUUUAAGUAACAUGCCCAAGUCACACAGCCCUGAAUUGCUUUUGCAAUUUCCAAUAAAGAGUGGCAGAAUGAAUGACCAAUCUUCCAACCCAGAAAGCUCUUCACAUAUUUUAGGUGCAGAUUCAUAAAAAAUUGAAAAGCAUUAUUUAUAUCUAUUUAAUUGUAAACUGAACCUAAUAGACAUAUAUACCAACAAUAUUCAACACAAUGAUCAGUCUUGGGACAACACUUCGCCUUUCCAUAUUUAUCUCUACUGAAAGAGCUCAAAUCUCUUUGCAAUUAUCAAUUAAUUACACGUCCAUACUCCUCAGAGGCUAGGCAUUACAUUUAUGGUCUGUUUUAUGGUUACUUUAUAGCUGUUAGCAGUACUGAAAAUAAGAAUAAUUUCACGCACCAUACAAUGUGUCACGUAGCCACCAGAGUCAGACAUGGUCAUUGUUCAAAGGUUUAAAAUAAAAGCUAAAUUUCUAAGAAAUCAUCUAGUAUUUCUUUGCCAAUGACAAUACCUCUAAUUUAUAAAGCAUUUUAUGGUUUAGAAGUUUUUCAUGUGUAGCCACUAUAGCACAUGGAACCUGGAACGUCAGAUUUCUAAACUCGAAAUCUGGUUUUGGGUCUCAUUCUAUUCUACGUGUACUUUUUAACUGCUUACUUUUAUUUGGAGUAAGUCAUGGAUUCAUGUGGUUGAAAUUCAAACGUUACAAAGACUUUCAGAAGAAAAAAAGUUCCCAACUCGGUCCCCCUAGCAACCUACCUCCUUCCUUGGAGGCAAAACAAUGUUGUAACGUCUUGAUAUCCCUCCAGGGAUCUUUUAUGUAAGUUACCAGUAAACAGCAUAUACCGCAUACCAUUUCAUACAAAAGUUAGCAUUCUACACCUGUGGAAAGUGUAGCUGGUUUCCUCUCCUGUGAAAGGGCAGUGGGGAGGAUGGCCAAACACGAAACUGCCUCCUCCGAAUGCCUGCCACGCAGUCAGCACUACGGGCAGCUUCCCUUUUCUUACUCGCGAGGAGGCUUGGAGGGAAGGAGUCUUCAAGGGGCCCGAAUACCAGGAAGAAGAGGUUUAAAGAGGUCAAGAAACUUGGCUGUGUCCACACACUGAAUUUGAACCCAGCAUCAUCUUGCUUGAUCCAACCAGGUCUUUUCUUACUUCUAUUUCAUACCAGAAGGCCUGCCACAGAGGGUUCCUGCAAGGUCAAAGGGAGACAGCCCAUGCGAACGCGCUGUGCAUACCAGGUCCUUAAAGAUGUUUUUUGAAUGACUGAACAAAUGGUCCCUUGACAAAAGGAGCGAGAUUUCAAAUAUGCUGCCAGGGGGAGAGAGCCACCUUUUUCUUUUCCCAUCCACUUCAGGAAAAUUUAGGUUUAAGUUAUUCCUGUGGUCGGCCUAGAGUUGCUUGCUACCAGAUUGAAAUAGGAAGACAUCAUGGAAA